CCGAAGGGUGACCAGCAACGCCGCGUGGAGGAUGAAGUCCUUCUGGACGUAAACUCCUUUUAGAGGGGACGAAAAGCCCGAUUUGUCGGGAAUUGACGGUACCCUCAGAAAAAGCACCGGCUAACUACGUGCCAGCAGCCGCGGUAAUACGUAGGGUGCAAGCGUUGUCCGGAUUCACUGGGUGUAAAGGGUGCGCAGGCGGGCUCUUAAGUCAAAGGUGAAAUCUCUCGGCUUAACCGAGAAAUUGCCUUUGAUACUGAGAGCCUUGAGUACGGGAGAGGGAGAUGGAAUUCCAGGUGUACCG
rnacentral:rRNA from 1 species